GGCCGACUAGCUCAGUUGGGGAGAGCGCGGCAGAUUGCUAUCGUCGAGGUCGUCGGUUCGACUCCGGCGUUGGCUC